AGUGAACGCUGGCGGUAGGCCUAACACAUGCAAGUCGAACGGCAGCACAGUAAGAGCUUGCUCUUACGGGUGGCGAGUGGCGGACGGGUGAGGAAUACAUCGGAAUCUACUUUUUCGUGGGGGAUAACGUAGGGAAACUUACGCUAAUACCGCAUACGACCUACGUGUGAAAGCAGGGGAUCUUCUGACCUUGCGCGAUUGAAUGAGCCGAUGUCGGAUUAGCUAGUUGGCGGGGUAAAGGCCCACCAAGGCGACGAUCCGUAGCUGGUCUGAGAGGAUGAUCAGCCACACUGGAACUGAGACACGGUCCAGACUCCUACGGGAGGCAGCAGUGGGGAAUCUUGGACAAUGGGCGCAAGCCUGAUCCAGCCAUACCGCGUGGGUGAAGAAGGCCUUCGGGUUGUAAAGCCCUUUUGUUGGGAAAGAAAAGCAGCAGGUUAAUACCCCGCUGUUCUGACGGUACCCAAAGAAUAAGCACCGGCUAACUUCGUG
rnacentral:rRNA from 1 species